AGUAUCUAUCCCAAAGACCAGGGAGAAAGGAAGGAAAGAUUCUGGUUCUGUCCUCUUCCCCAAGGCAAGGCUGGCUGCCCUACCAACAGAGGCAAAGAGAAGAGUGUGCAAGGCUGGCUGCCCUCCCAACAGAGGCAAAGAGGAGUGUGUGUUGAAAUAUCCAUUGAAUCCCUGAGACAACUGGAUCCUGGCCCAUUGAAUCAUAAACUCAUUUCAGAGAAGAUGAAACUGAUGUGCGUCAAAAAGUUAUGGAGGCUGGGAAGACCUAGAAUGUGGCAUCACUAUUUGCUUCGACAAUUCUGUGGAGAUAAACUUUCAGUAGACGUGGAGCAGAUUAUCACAGUUGAAUUGUGCUGAGAGAAGAGCUGAAAUGACUAAGCUCACAGGAAAACUACCAAAGGGCGUUACUGAAUGUCCAGUUUACAGUCUCCAAAGGGGAGCUGCCUCUGCUGGUGGUGAUGCAUGGAACAUGGCUUUAUUGUGUGAACCUUGGAAAUGGACACCAGAGAGUCCUGGACUUGUAGUCGGUGUAGCAGAAGUUGAUCUGGGGCCGAGGUCUUAAGAUUUCUGAGGCUCAAGACAUGAGUAAUAGAUUGCUAGUCUUUCCAUGGAUGAGAACCGGCAAAAUCUCUAAGUGAGAAAUCACAUCAUCUAUAGUUCAAAGCAGAGUUCCUAUUCCAAUGAGAAAGAAUACUCAUCAGAAGGUCAAGGCAUGCAACCAACCAAUCCAUACGAUGUGUUCCAAUAUGCUCAACUCUGCUCUCAAUGUUUUGCAGCAUGUCAGAAUGUAAACUUAACAGCAACCUCUGAGGUGUUAAAUACAGACAAGUCAAAGUAGAUUAAAUCUAUUUCAACAUAAAGAUUUGAACAUGGCACUCUGCCCCGGAAAUGCAUGUGACCCCCUCAAUAUGCUGCCUUUGCUGCACAACUGUCUUUUUGUACUCUUGUAAUGUUGAUGGCUUGUGCAUCAUCAAAACCAAACAAACGUCUGUUGGACUGACAGACGAUUAAGAGUCAAUGUCUGAGUGGAGGAUAAAUGUGAGAAACUCCACUAGGAGGAGACAACCUUUCCUCCAUCAAAAAGACAGCGCUAAGAAUCCUUACCAUUGUAAUCUGGUCCAUAGAGAGAGCAGCAUCCUUUCCCUAACGAUUACCCAUUUCCUAUUAGCAAAUGACUCCUGUGAUGCUUCCCCAGCUAAAAUAGGACCCAAAUUGGCUAAGUACCAUAGACAAUAUGUGCAAUUCUGUUUUUAAAAAUCACCAGAAGUAAAAGGGUCCAUUCAAAUAAAUGGAACAAGAAUGUCCUGAGCCAAA
rnacentral:lncRNA from 1 species